GGGCUUCUCGGUCGGCGAAGGGAGAAGGCCGGGGAGGCCCGCAUCCCCCUGCCGGCCCCCCUCCGCUCCCGCUGCAGCACUUAAGAUGCAAAUGUGCGCGGUGAUUAGCCGCGGGGUCGCUAAUUACCGCCGGAGCCAUUCAUUACGCUGUCAGCGCGCGUCGCGGCCCGCCGGCUGCGCGCUCCCCGCUGGCUGCCCGGGGACCGGGUUAGGGGCGCGCGAAGGCCGGGGUAGGGGGUGGGGUCAUGGCUGCUUGUCACUUGUGGAAACUGAGGGUGAGAGAGCUCAAGGGGUUCGCCCCCGCCUUGCCCAACCGAGGAAGCAGCCACCGCAGGUCUUUGAGCCCAGCCGCUCCGACCCAUCUCCCUGCUUGAGGAAUGGACUUUCCAGCUGCCCACUGAAGGACCUGGGAGUCUAGACGGUUGUCCUAGGCGUUUUCCCAAGAGAAUGCUCGUGGAAUUCCAGUCGGCAGACCCAUCCUCCAAGGAAAAGCCUUGGGAUCACAUCAAAGACUCCAAGAAGAAGCGAGAGUGUAGCCCGGGGGCUCAGAC